UUUCAUUCUAGCUACUACAACAACCGAUUUGCUUAGCUUCACGCCAUUAACGCCGACGUCAUAAAACUAGUGUUUCCCGUCCUGAAGCAACAUGGAAGAAACUGCAUGUUUAUGGGACAUGAAAUUUGGGUUGAACGAUGAUCUAAACGAGAUUUUCCCGAAUCUAACUACUGAACCUAUUGAGUCGGAGAUGACAAAGAAGAGAUUGCAGGAGGAUAAUAAACAAUGCAAUAAAUCUGAUUUAGACUCCUCAUCGUAUGAGAAAAAGUUAGAGAUGACAAAGAAGAGACUACAUGAUCAUUAUGAGCAAUGUAAUAAAGCAAGGAAGACAACACGUUUAAUGGAAUAUAUUGAUCUUCCCGCCAUUCCGCAACAUGGUUGUGGUGCCCCACGGAAAAAGAAGCAGCUAAAGAGGGAGGGUAAUCGUAUGAUCAAGCUUCGUAAAUAGAAAAGUUGUAACCUAAUUCAGCUCUACAUAACUACAUUGUAAUUCAUUAGCUCUCCUUCUCUCUCUCUACCAAUAUUCUAAGAAAACUCCAUAGCUACUCUUGUACAAUCAACUUUUUUUC